CUAGAGUGCUUCUCUUCU
rnacentral:miRNA from 1 species